GUUUCUCUCGGUUUGUGGGCUCAUCUAAAGCGCAAAUACAGACGUCCGAUUAUAUACAUAUAUAUACAUGUAUGUAUAUAUGUGUGUGUGUGUCCCAGCUGAGUAACAGGAAGAGAAGAGUCUAAUGGUUCAACAGAGGAACAAUUUCAGCCACUUGGACUCAGCUGAGCCACUACAGAGGAAACAAUGACUUCAACACAGGACCAACACGGAGCGAGAAGUCAGCGCUCUCAGGAGGCCGACAAACCUCA